UCCCAGGUGGCUUAGUCGAUAAAGAAUCUGCCUGCAAUCCAGGAGACCCAGGUUCAAUCCCUGGUUCCGGAA
rnacentral:tRNA from 1 species